UAGUGUAGUGCUAUAUAAGUAUAAAAUAAUGGAGAGGUUCACUUGUGUUGUUACACUCAAUUGAUGGGGUAAGUGAACACCUCCACUAUUUUAUACUUACAUAGCGCUCCUCU